UAAAAUGUCGUAUAUGACUUUUUUGACUAAAAAUGCUUUUUGACACCAAUGGUCUGGGCGGGAGGAAAUCUUUGGUAUUACAAAAUAGCAUACAGUUAGACCAAUUAAAAUGUGUGAAAAAAGACAUAUUACAAAAUUGCCAAUGUCAGUUGUUUGUAGAGUUUGCUUCCAAAAUGUUGUAUGAAAACUUGAAAAUCGUUGUAGAAUGGCUUUGGGAAAAAAA
rnacentral:lncRNA from 1 species